ACUUAAAUUGAAGAGUUUGAUCAUGGCUCAGAUUGAACGCUGGCGGCAGGCCUAACACAUGCAAGUCGAGCGGUAACACAGAGAGCUUGCUCUCGGGUGACGAGCGGCGGACGGGUGAGUAAUGUCUGGGAAACUGCCUGAUGGAGGGGGAUAACUACUGGAAACGGUAGCUAAUACCGCAUAACGUCGCAAGACCAAAGUGGGGGACCUUCGGGCCUCAUGCCAUCAGAUGUGCCCAGAUGGGAUUAGCUAGUAGGUGGGGUAAUGGCUCACCUAGGCGACGAUCCCUAGCUGGUCUGAGAGGAUGACCAGCCACACUGGAACUGAGACACGGUCCAGACUCCUACGGGAGGCAGCAGUGGGGAAUAUUGCACAAUGGGCGCAAGCCUGAUGCAGCCAUGCCGCGUGUAUGAAGAAGGCCUUCGGGUUGUAAAGUACUUUCAGCGAGGAGGAAGGCAUUAAGGUUAAUAACCUUGGUGAUUGACGUUACUCGCAGAAGAAGCACCGGCUAACUCCGUGCCAGCAGCCGCGGUAAUACGGAGGGUGCAAGCGUUAAUCGGAAUUACUGGGCGUAAAGCGCACGCAGGCGGUCUGUCAAGUCGGAUGUGAAAUCCCCGGGCUCAACCUGGGAACUGCAUUCGAAACUGGCAGGCUAGAGUCUUGUAGAGGGGGGUAGAAUUCCAGGUGUAGCGGUGAAAUGCGUAGAGAUCUGGAGGAAUACCGGUGGCGAAGGCGGCCCCCUGGACAAAGACUGACGCUCAGGUGCGAAAGCGUGGGGAGCAAACAGGAUUAGAUACCCUGGUAGUCCACGCCGUAAACGAUGUCGACUUGGAGGUUGUGCCCUUGAGGCGUGGCUUCCGGAGCUAACGCGUUAAGUCGACCGCCUGGGGAGUACGGCCGCAAGGUUAAAACUCAAAUGAAUUGACGGGGGCCCGCACAAGCGGUGGAGCAUGUGGUUUAAUUCGAUGCAACGCGAAGAACCUUACCUACUCUUGACAUCCAGAGAACUUAGCAGAGAUGCUUUGGUGCCUUCGGGAACUCUGAGACAGGUGCUGCAUGGCUGUCGUCAGCUCGUGUUGUGAAAUGUUGGGUUAAGUCCCGCAACGAGCGCAACCCUUAUCCUUUGUUGCCAGCGGUCCGGCCGGGAACUCAAAGGAGACUGCCAGUGAUAAACUGGAGGAAGGUGGGGAUGACGUCAAGUCAUCAUGGCCCUUACGAGUAGGGCUACACACGUGCUACAAUGGCAUAUACAAAGAGAAGCGACCUCGCGAGAGCAAGCGGACCUCAUAAAGUAUGUCGUAGUCCGGAUUGGAGUCUGCAACUCGACUCCAUGAAGUCGGAAUCGCUAGUAAUCGUAGAUCAGAAUGCUACGGUGAAUACGUUCCCGGGCCUUGUACACACCGCCCGUCACACCAUGGGAGUGGGUUGCAAAAGAAGUAGGUAGCUUAACCUUCGGGAGGGCGCUUACCACUUUGUGAUUCAUGACUGGGGUGAAGUCGUAACAAGGUAACCGUAGGGGAACCUGCGGUUGGAUCACCUCCUUACCUAAAGAA
rnacentral:rRNA from 1 species